UCCCCUAUGGCGCAAUCGGUAGCGCGUCAGACUGUUAAACUAUCACAGUCAACUGAGGCCUCACCACCCUCAGGUGAUUGUGAUAGCUGCCGUCUGGAGGUUCACAGUUCGAGCCUGUGUAGGGAAG